rnacentral:snRNA from 1 species
AGGCUCACUUCAGCAGCACACACACUAAAAUUAAAACAACAGAGAUUAGCAUGUCCCUUGCACAAAGAUGACAUGCAAAUUCAUGAAGCAUCUCAUAUUUCA